GACGAACGCUGGCGGCGUGCUUAACACAUGCAAGUCGAACGGAAAGGCCCUGCUUUUGUGGGGUGCUCGAGUGGCGAACGGGUGAGUAACACGUGAGUAACCUGCCCUUGACUUUGGGAUAACUUCAGGAAACUGGGGCUAAUACCGGAUAGGAGCUCCUGCUGCAUGGUGGGGGUUGGAAAGUUUCGGCGGUUGGGGAUGGACUCGCGGCUUAUCAGCUUGUUGGUGGGGUAGUGGCUUACCAAGGCUUUGACGGGUAGCCGGCCUGAGAGGGUGACCGGCCACAUUGGGACUGGGAUACGGCCCAGACUCCUACGGGAGGCAGCAGUGGGGAAUAUUGCACAAUGGGCGGAAGCCUGAUGCAGCAACGCCGCGUGCGGGAUGACGGCCUUCGGGUUGUAAACCGCUUUCGCCUGUGACGAAGCGUGAGUGACGGUAAUGGGUAAAGAAGUACCGGCUAACUACGU
rnacentral:rRNA from 1 species